rnacentral:tRNA from 1 species
GCUGAUAUGGCUCAGUUGGUAGAGCGCACCCUUGGUAAGUGUGAGGUCCCCAGUUCGACUCUGGGUAUCAGCACCA